rnacentral:rRNA from 1 species
ACUCAAAUGAAUUGACGGGAGCCCGCACAAGCAGUGGAGUAUGUGGUUUAAUUCGAUGCUACGCGAAGAACCUUACCAAGGCUUGACAUCCUACUGACGAAGUAGAGAUACAUUAGGUGCCCGCAAGGGAAAGUAGAGACAGGUGGUGCAUGGUUGUCGUCAGCUCGUGUCGUGAGAUGUUGGGUUAAGUCCCGCAACGAGCGCAACCCUUGUGGAUAGUUGCUACGCAAGAGCACUCUAUUCAGACUGCCGUUGACAAAACGGAGGAAGGUGGGGAUGAGGUCAAAUCAUCAUGCUCUUUAUGUCUUGGGCUACACACGUACUACAAUGGCGGCCAACAGCGGGAAGCGAAGCAGCGAUGCGGAGCAGAUCCCCAAAAGCCGCCUCAGUUCAGAUCGCAGGCUGCAACCCGCCUGCGUGAAGCUGGAAUUGCUAGUAAUCGCGGAUCAGCAUGCCGCGGUGAAUACGUUCCCGGGCUUUGCACACACCGCCCGU